rnacentral:piRNA from 1 species
UGUGUAACUUUUGGGAAAGUAAGGUGG